GACGAGUCUCACAAACGUUAUUCGGAAUUACUGGGCUUAAAGGGUGCGUAGGCGGUGGAGUAAGUCGGAUGUGAAAUACCUUAGCUUAACUAGGGAACUGCACUCGAUACUACUUUGCUAGAGUAAGACAGAGGUGAGUGGAACUGAGGGUGGAGCGGUGAAAUGCGUUGAUAUCCUCAGGAACACCGGUGGCGAGGGCGACUCACUGGGUCUUUACUGACGCUGAUGCACGAAAGCUAGGGGAGCAAACGGG
rnacentral:rRNA from 1 species